CUACGGACUUAAAAAUCCGUUGGUUUAAGUGACCGUGAGGGUUCAAGUCCCUCUUCCCCCAG
rnacentral:tRNA from 1 species